UAUAUAUAUAUAUAUAUAUACUUUAUGCGCGACCGUGAAUGAUGCGCAGAUGUGGUGUUGUCAAUUUAAUUUCGCUAUAAAAAAAUAUGUCAUUUAUUCUCUCUCAAUUUUCGCAUUUUUUAAAAUAUUUCUGUGUGAAAAAUUUUUCAAAUUAAAAUCUCCCUCGCCGCUCUCUCUCGCUCUCGUCGUCUUCAGCGUCCAUCAGACCUCGCACCUCCCACUGGGAAAGUUUCACCGGCGUCUUCAAUCUCACAGUUGUUGUGAGAGCUUACCACCUCUUUCCAUUCUCACUGGGAUGACGGCAUCUACAAACACCUGUAGGCUACAACCACAUUUGCGCGUUAGUUGCUACACGUUGUAGCAGCUAUAAACAUGAAGCAGUCACUUGCGCCUUGCUUCGCUUCUAAACGUUGCAGCAACUACUUCGCAGCAAAUUGUCCAUGUAGCUGCUACAACUUGUAGCAGCUAACUUGGAAUGACGGUCGUAAAAGGAAGGAAGGAUUUAUGCUACGACAUGCAAGGCCAACGGUUGAUACAAACGCCUGCAGCCACUUGGACUUUCCUUUCCUACUACUAGUUAUAGCAGCUACUUUGAAAGUUAAUUGCUACAUAUUGUAGCAGCUACAUCGACAGGUAACUGCUACACUUUGUAGUAGUUAACUCUCCAUGUAGCUGCUACAACGUGUAACAGCUACUUCGGCAGGUAACUGCUACACCUUGUAACAACUAACUCUCCAUGUAGUUGCUACAACAUGUAGCGACUACUUCGACAGGUAACUGCUACACCUUGUAGCAACUAACUCUCCAUGUAGUUGCUACAACUUGUAGCAGCCGCUCGAUAAGUCGUGUUUUUACUAGCUAUAUUUUCUCACAGAUAUUAACCAUAAAAAUACUUGUUAAAAAAAUUAUUUAAAAAUAUUUAUGCUGCUGCAGUGUCUUUGCUUUGCUGCUAUACGUUGUAGCAGCUACUUUGACUAAUAACUACUACUCUUUGUAGCAGCUAACUUGAAAUGAUGAAGCUGCUACAACGUGUAGCAGUUAUUUCUUCAU